AUACUCACCUGGUGGGAAGAUACUAUGAUCACGAAGGUGGUUUUCCCAGGGUGAGGUGUAUUCAUUGCACUCUGGAUGUGCUGACCCCUGCAAUCCCCCCCCCCCCAUCAAAAAGAAUUUAUUCUCCUAAGUUUUUUCAACUAAUUAGGCCUAUUUGA